UGGUGGCCCAAGCUUGUAAUCUCUGCUGCUGGGAAGGCUGAGGCUGGUGGAUUUCUUGAGCUCAAGAGUUCUGAGACAUAGUGGUCCAAGCCAGUCAGGUAUCUAUAUCAAGUUUGGCAUUAAUAUGUUCAGCCUAUGGAGCAGGGGGCCAUCAGGUUGCAUAAAGAUGGACAAACUGGCUCAGGUUGAAGACAGAGAAGGUCAAAGUUAUGCUGGUCAGUAGUCAGAUUGGCUGUGAAUGGCUUCCACACUUCUAAACUGAGCAAGAUGGGGAGACUCAGACUUUA
rnacentral:SRP_RNA from 1 species